CUCAUAUAAAUAAUUGAAAUUCAUCAAUGUUUUUGAUUUGACAUCAUGAGAAGUAUAAACUGUGCUUGUACAAGCUGUAGUAUAAGAGGAAGCAAACAGGAACUUCAUCAUCUGUAAUUUACACCUAAUUAAAUUAUCUUCAUUUCUAGGAUCAACUCAGCUUAUAUAAAGACAGCCUGUAUAAGAUGAUACAAAAUCCAUGUUCCUUGGGGCUCUGUGUAACUACACCCCUAAGUCUCCAACAACUCUGGCUUUGAUACCUCUUGGAAAAACAAAUAAAACUGUGAUAGAUCAGCAAUGGAGAAAAAAUCCUAAAAAUAACCCACAACAACAAAUUUGCAAAAUCAAAGCGUAGCUAUAAGUAAAGCUUUGAACUAAAGCUCAACCAUUGUGGCAUUUCUAAAGCAGGUGAGAAAAGCAUGUUGCACAUAUCAAGAGUGUAUACUUCCAGUUAAGGAAUACAAUUCUCAGCCAGGAAUUCCUAUUGGUGAACUAAUACUACACUGAAAGGUUGGUAUCAGCAGAAGCCUGAGUUGUGUUGCUGUCCUCUGCUGUGGGUGUUCCCAUCCCAAGUUGCUGUAAAACAUGAUGCUUUUUGCUGUGCUGUGCAUAAGGCUUUUCCAGACCAAGGUUUUCUGUCAAGCCCUGAGAUAUCAAUGUGUGUCUCUGCAUAGACAAGGAGGGACAGCUUUGACAAAUCAAAGUUUGAUCAUGCCUUUCUCAAGGGGAAAAUUCUGCUAUGAAGGUGCACUCAAAAUAUCAAAAAACCCCAGGGAAGUUUCUCCCAGGCAUAGCUCGUGAUUUUUGACCAGGUCAACAACAUUUAAUGAACUAUGGGAAGAUACUUUUCUAUCAAGGACUGAGAAUGGAGAAGGACAAAAGCUGCCUGUUUGGGUUUUUUUUUAUUUCAGUUUAUCUUUAAAUUAGAGACAUGUGACCUCUGUGUGAGCCUCAUAGACUUUUAAUAAUCAAAAUUUUGGGGAACCAUCAUGUGAAAAAGUGCAGGGAAAUUAAUAUUUUUCACUUUUUCCCUGUGGCUAAAGAACAUAAAAAGUGCCUUAUGCAGUGUUCUUUCAAAAGCUUCCAUUGGUCCUUACAGCUUCUGUAUUUAAAGCUGGAAUUUUGAAAACACCUGGAAAAAUAAAUCAUGAAAUUGUAAAAAUAAAGAUUUUAAA
rnacentral:lncRNA from 1 species